GCUCCUUCCCCAAGUGAUCAACUGUCAAUGAGUGACCAUUAGUGGGUGAUUCAGCCAGUGGUCAGCAGAGUGAUGGUCAUCAGGCAGAGUGAGUUAAGAGGGAGAUCCUGGACUUCUCCUGGGGGCCUCCAGCUCAUCUAGCCUCAGGUCAGUGGGUGACCUGGGGGCCCAGGGAAUAAAUUGAGGGAUGUGUCCUGCAGGAAUCCAGAGCCCUCAUCAAAGCUGCCCACUGGUGGGGCCCAGGCCUUGAAGCGGUGGUGACCCUGUCUGCCAUUCCCAUCACCUGAUGGCAGAGGCAGUCCUCACAGGAUGCAGUCUACCCCCACCGUCUGGGCACCUGAAGAGCCUAGGAGCCAGUUGAGUCAUGGACACCUGGAUCCCUCAGUGAUGAGAGCUGGGUAGGGUCUGGGGACUUGACCUUGGGGAGCUGCCAGCUGAGAUCUGCCUCCUCUCACUCAGGAUUGGGACCUCACAGGAUGACAGUUGUGCCUUGAGACCUGGCCCUUUCUUGUCAGAACAGAGGAUAACAUUUGUUUGGUGAAGAUUUAUAGGCACAUCAUUACCUGACCAUGACCUGACCUCAAGAACAUAGGAUCUACAUCAAGACGUUUGCAGCAACUCACCAUGCCCCUCCCUCACCUUUCCUAGAAAAGGGCUUUGCUGAAGGCUUUUGAGGAAUUUGGGGGUUUCAAGGUGUGAGUCAUCCUUCUUGUUGCAGGGCACUGCAGUAAACCUUUCUCUGUUCGAGACCAACAUUUUGGUAUAGUUUGGCCUCACUGUGCAUCAGGCACAUGGACUUCUGUUUUUUGGUGACAGUAACUCUCUUUAGGGCAGUGAUCCAGAGACCCAGGUUCUUUCCAUCACACAGCUCAGCCAGCUCCUGAGUCCCUUCUCAGCCUUAGCAUGUAGCUGACAGCAGGCAGAAGACAGCAUGGAGACGUGUUGUGUUGUAAACACCUUGAAGGGAAAUGCAUACCUUCUCCUUUUCCAUUGGCUGAGAUCAGGUCAUGUGGCUGCCACUAGGUAUAAAUGGACCUGGAAAGUGUAGUCUGUGGCUUGGUAGGAGUUUCUCGGCAGUAAUUCGAUGAGAGCAGGAGCAUCAUGAAUUUUCACUGGUAGCUGGCCAGCUCUGUCAACAUGCAGGAAGAUAGAAGAGGAAGCCGUGCUUCAAACACAUGAAGGUUCACAGUUCGGGGGGAGAAGUCAUGCGGUAGUAAAAGCAUCAUCAGCUAAGGAGGAAAAGUAACAAAGAACUUGAAGACUUCCAUGGCUCCCAGGCCCUGGAUGGAGGCAAGCGGCAUCAGGCAGCUUCAGACAGAGAACCGUGGAAGCUGAGGGGCAGCCGGGAUGUGCCUGUGGCUGCAAAGCCCAGACUUGUCUUUGGAAAAGACUCAGAAGAACCCAUUAACUUGGCUUCCUCACUUCUGCUCAUCAUACGCCGGUGAAUGGUUUGAAGAUGCUGGCCUAGCAAGAUGGCAACAGGUUUAAAAAAUAGGAUUCAUAAGAAGUUCCUUUUU